rnacentral:rRNA from 1 species
GUGCGAGCGUUGUCCGGAAUUACUGGGCGUAAAGAGCUCGUAGGUGGUUUGUCGCGUUGUUCGUGAAAUCUCACGGCUUAACUGUGAGCGUGCGGGCGAUACGGGCAGACUUGAGUACUGCAGGGGAGACUGGAAUUCCUGGUGUAGCGGUGGAAUGCGCAGAUAUCAGGAGGAACACCGGUGGCGAAGGCGGGUCUCUGGGCAGUAACUGACGCUGAGGAGCGAAAGCGUGGGGAGCGAACAGGAUUAGAUACCCUGGUAGUCCACGCCGUAAACGGUGGGUACUAGGUGUGGGUUUCCUCCCUUGGGAUCCGUGCCGUAGCUAACGCAUUAAGUACCCCGCCUGGGGAGUACGGCCGCAAGGCUAAAACUCAAAGAAAUUGACGGGGGCCCGCACAAGCGGCGGAGCAUGUGGAUUAAUUCGAUGCAACGCGAAGAACCUUACCUGGGUUUGACAUGCACAGGACGCCGGCAGAGAUGUCGGUUCCCUUGUGGCCUGUGUGCAGGUGGUGCAUGGCUGUCGUCAGCUCGUGUCGUGAGAUGUUGGGUUAAGUCCCGCAACGAGCGCAACCCUUGUCUCAUGUUGCCAGCGGGUAAUGCCGGGGACUCGUGAGAGACUGCCGGGGUCAACUCGGAGGAAGGUGGGGAUGACGUCAAGUCAUCAUGCCCCUUAUGUCCAGGGCUUCACACAUGCUACAAUGGCCGGUACAAAGGGCUGCGAUGCCGCGAGGUUAAGCGAAUCCUUUUAAAGCCGGUCUCAGUUCGGAUCGGGGUCUGCAACUCGACCCCGUGAAGUCGGAGUCGCUAGUAAUCGCAGAUCAGCAACGCUGCGGUGAAUACGU